GGGGAGGGCAUAGGAGAGGGUUGAUAUAAAAUGCAAUUACAGCCUCUUAUGCUUUCCAAAGUGGGGGAUGAUUCAAUGAUUCCUGACUGGUCCACAGCCAUAUAUCAAUUGAGGUUAUAAUACUAAUUUGAAUUGCAAAUCUCUGAAAAGAAGGGGACAAGCUAAGGAGAUAAAAUUUAACAGGGUGAGUCCUGAAUUUAGAUUUAAACAAACUCCACAAGUAUAAGAAGGCAGAGGCUGGCAACAGUACUUGCUGUCAUGUUUAGUCGGCCACUGGUCAGUCUGAGACAGCAGUGGGUGUGAUCGUGUAGCAGCUAUGGAAAGCUUAUGCUGCAUUUAAUAAUAAUAGUCAUACUUUAAAGCAUGUUUCAGUUAUGAAUUCAUUCUGACCAGAAAAGUAACUUGCACUAGCUUAACAGUCAAAUAGCAAGAAGCAUAGAGAAGUGGCCGCUUGCUGUGCUUCAGCAGCUCAACAGUGUCUCUAUUCUCUUAGCCUCUUCCUCCUGCUUGCCACCUCUCAGUCACAAGACGGCUGCUGCGACUCAGGCUCAUGUCCCAAUUCAAGGCAGCAAGAAGGCCAUGGAGCGGCACCUGCCAGGUAUGUCCCUUUCCCAGGCAUCCCCAGCAGAUUUCUCACUGUCUGAAACUGCAUCCCACGGCGUUCUUAGGUGCGAGGCUGGUCUGGAGAGUCAAUGCUUGGGUUUUCCAAUACCUGCAUGGGACAUGGGCAAGAUGGAAGGGAGUUGGGUUUAGGAAACCAGUAGUGCCAGCCCUUUACUCGUAUCAUAUCUGAUCCCCACAGCAACCCUGAGGAGUAGCUAUUUAUCAUCCUUAUUGAGCAAAUGAAGAAAAUCAGAACCAGCAACAUCAAGAAAAAAUGAGGAAAGACAUACAUUAGUAAAUAAUAAAGCCAGGGUUCCAAUUCAGAUCAGGUUGAAUCCAAAAUUCCUCUCCCUGCCAUUAUAACGCAUCACAGUGUUCAGGUCAUGUGGGUCUGGGAAGGAUGAAUCAUAUUCAACUAUCCCACCACG
ensembl:lncRNA MIR3945HG MIR3945 host gene